rnacentral:rRNA from 1 species
AUUGAACGCUGGCGGCAGGCCUAACACAUGAAAGUCGAACGAGUGGAGGACGGGUGAGAAAUGGCUGGGAAACUGCCUUAGGGAGGGGGAUAACUACUGGAAACGGUAGCUAAUACCGCAUAACAUCAGAUGUGCCCAGAAGGUAAUAGAUAGUUGGUGGGGUAACGCCUCACCAAGGCGACGAACCCUAGCUGGGCUGAGAGGAUGACCACACACACUGGACCGGCUACACGGUACAGACUCCUACGGGAGGCAGCAGUGGGGAAUAUGGCACACUGGGCGCAAGCCUGAUGCAGCCAUGCAGCGUGUAUGAAUAGGGCAUUCGGGUUGUAAAGUACUUUCAGCUGGGAGGCGUUACGCGAAGAAGAAGCACCGGCUAACUCCGUGACAGCAGCCGCGGUAAGAG